GAUGAACGCUGGCGGCGUGCCUAAUACAUGCAAGUCGAGCGAACAGACGAGGAGCUUGCUCCUCUGACGUUAGCGGCGGACGGGUGAGUAACACGUGGAUAACCUACCUAUAAGACUGGGAUAACUUCGGGAAACCGGAGCUAAUACCGGAUAAUAUAUUGAACCGCAUGGUUCAAUAGUGAAAGACGGUUUUGCUGUCACUUAUAGAUGGAUCCGCGCCGCAUUAGCUAGUUGGUAAGGUAACGGCUUACCAAGGCAACGAUGCGUAGCCGACCUGAGAGGGUGAUCGGCCACACUGGAACUGAGACACGGUCCAGACUCCUACGGGAGGCAGCAGUAGGGAAUCGUCCGCAAUGGGCGAAAGCCUGACGGAGCAACGCCGCGUGAGUGAUGAAGGUCUUCGGAUCGUGAAACUCUGUUAUUAGGGAAGAACAAAUGUGUAAGUAACUAUGCACGUCUUGACGGUACCUAAUCAGAAAGCCACGGCUAACUACGUG
rnacentral:rRNA from 1 species